GGCGGGGCCAAGAGGGCCGAGCCCGCGGGAGGAGGGGCGGCGCCUGUCACGUGACCCGGUUUCUCUGUUUACACGAGGAGUAGGCCCAGCCUUCGGCCUCAGUCAGGCGCUCGGCUCCGUUUCGGUU
ensembl:misc_RNA